CCCAACUUCGGUUAUAAGAUCCCUCAAAGAUGAUGAGGUUAAUAGCUUCGAGGUGGAAGCAUGGUGACAUGUGGAGCUGACGAAUACUAAUCGAUCGAAGACUUAAUCAA
rnacentral:rRNA from 1 species